rnacentral:rRNA from 1 species
GAUGAACGCUAGCUACAGGCUUAACACAUGCAAGUCGAGGGGAAACGAUGAGAGAGCUUGCUCUCUUAGGCGUCGACCGGCGCACGGGUGAGUAACGCGUAUCCAACCUACCCAUUACAGGGGGAUAACCUUGCGAAAGUAAGACUAAUACCCCAUGGCAUUUUAUGGUGGCAUCAUUAUAGGAUUAAAGAUUUAUUGGUAAUGGAUGGGGAUGCGUCUGAUUAGCUUGUUGGCGGGGUAACGGCCCACCAAGGCAACGAUCAGUAGGGGUUCUGAGAGGAAGGUCCCCCACAUUGGAACCGAGACACGGUCCAAAAUCCUACGGGAGGCAGCAGUGAGGAAUAUUGGUCAAUGGGCGAGAGCUUGAACCAGCCAAGUAGCGUGCAGGAGGACGGCCCUAUGGGUUGUAAACUGCUUUUAUAGGGGAAUAAAGUGAGCUACGUGUAGUUUAUUGCAUGUACCCUAUGAAUAAGGACCGGCUAAUUCCGUG